GUAGUCUCUCUCUCUCUCACUGACGUCUCAUCAGAAGUGGUCAGUCAAGUCAGCUCAGUCAGUCGAAAAGAGAGUGUCCAUCGCGGCGGAGUCAAGUGUAGGUAGCUGCCGGAGUGUAUGUGCGUGCUCGAUCGCCCCCAAACCAGUCCAUCCAUAUUUACCUGCUGGCUGGCUAGCUGGCUAGCUAGCUUCGAAACCAGUAGUGCGGGUGAAAAUUUUAGCAGCAGCCACUAACUUUGCACUACCAAUUCGCACUUUCGUAGUGUUGCGCGAGCGAGGUGUCGUGGUGUCGUGCGAGACGUGAACGCAAUCAGCCCAAAGAGUGUUGAAGAGUGACGAGCAAGAAGAACAAAGUCAGAAAGAAGAGAUGACAACGACGGACAACACUGCCGAGCGGGCGGGUGUUGUGUAGUGUGAGCUAAAGCAAGAAAGAACAGUCGUAGCAGAGUGGUGUUUGUGCGAGGUGUUCUGGUGAACGUCGACGACGACGACGACGACAACAGUAGUGCUCGACGAUGAUGUACUAAUCUACAGCACACAGUGCAAGGCAAGAGAGAGAGUACCUUUA